rnacentral:rRNA from 1 species
AGAGUUUGAUCAUGGCUCAGAUUGAACGCUGGCGGCAGGCCUAACACAUGCAAGUCGAGCGGGAGUAGCAAUACUCUAGCGGCGAACGGGUGAGGAAUGCUUGGGAAUCUGCCUAGUAGUGGGGGAUAACGUUCGGAAACGGACGCUAAUACCGCAUACGUCCUACGGGAGAAAGGGGGGGAUCUUCGGACCUCUCGCUAUUAGAUGAGCCCAAGCGGGAUUAGCUAGUUGGUGAGGUAAUGGCUCACCAAGGCAACGAUCCCUAGCUGGUCUGAGAGGAUGAUCAGCCACACUGGAACUGAGACACGGUCCAGACUCCUACGGGAGGCAGCAGUGGGGAAUAUUGGACAAUGGGCGAAAGCCUGAUCCAGCCAUGCCGCGUGUGUGAAGAAGGCCUUAGGGUUGUAAAGCACUUUAAGCGAGGAGGAAGGUUCGUCACCUAAUACGUGGCGGAAUUGACGUUACUCGCAGAAUAAGCACCGGCUAACUCUGUGCCAGCAGCCGCGGUAAUACAGAGGGUGCAAGCGUUAAUCGGAAUUACUGGGCGUAAAGCGCGCGUAGGCGGUUUGUUAAGUCGGAUGUGAAAUCCCUGGGCUCAACCUAGGCACUGCAUCCGAUACUGGCUGACUAGAGUGUGGGAGAGGAAGGUAGAAUUCCAGGUGUAGCGGUGAAAUGCGUAGAGAUCUGGAGGAAUACCGAUGGCGAAGGCAGCCUUCUGGCCAAAUACUGACGCUGAGGUGCGAAAGCAUGGGGAGCAAACAGGAUUAGAUACCCUGGUAGUCCAUGCCGUAAACGAUGUCAACUAGCCGUUGGGCUCCUUGAGGCCUUAGUGGCGCAGCUAACGCGAUAAGUUGACCGCCUGGGGAGUACGGUCGCAAGACUAAAACUCAAAUGAAUUGACGGGGGCCCGCACAAGCGGUGGAGCAUGUGGUUUAAUUCGAUGCAACGCGAAGAACCUUACCU